GCCCCGUGUCCCGCACGGCCCCGCGGAGCACAGCGCCCGCGCCCCGCGCCCGGGCGGAGCAGCCAGCCCUUACCUUGCAGCGCCUGGGUCUGCCCGCUCGCUAAAGCUACUUAUCCCGGGAAAGCUCUCGUGGGGCCCAGGAGCGAACCCACAGACAAAAAGUGAAACUUCGGCAGGGCUGGAGCGGCUGCUGGUUGGUGCCUUUCCCCCUCCUUCCUCCCCACCCCCUCCCCUCGGUCUCCCGUGCGGUGCCCCGAGCGCUGGAGGCUGACGUCAGGGGCCUGAAUUCCUGACUUUGCUUGCACGCAUUUGUCCAUGUAAGGUAUGGGAAGGCGGGUGCCCGCGGGGCGCCGCGCGGCUCGCCGGCGGGGGAGGGGGCGCCCGGGGCGGCAGCUGCUCGGCCCCAAGGUGGGCGCACCGAGGGCACUGCGCUCCCGAGAGGAAGAGACGAGACGCCGGAGCGCGGGGAGCUGGCGGAGAAGGAAGGGAAACCAGGAGGUGUGGAGGCUGUGCCUCCACUGGAGGAAGAGGAAGGAGACGGAGGAGGAAGCGGCCCACUCGGUGGCUGCUGGAGAAACGAAGAACUAACUGGCCUCCGCAAGGAAGCCGCCAAAUUAGAAGGCUGAGCUUGAGCGGAAGAGAUCCUGCCUUGGAGCCUCCGCGCCAGCCCCGCCCUGGCUUCCCUGCGAGACUGCAAACUCGCAGGAUGUUAGAGCAGGCAGUCACCAAAUUCCAGCCCAUUCACGUCACACGUGGGGACUGGGUCACAUGCUCCCCAGAUCCGGGAGCCUGGAACCCGGUUAGGAGUCAGCUGACGUGCGGACCACCCACUGAUUCCAUGCUUUGCUAGACCCCAGAGCCGGUUCCUAGAAGGUUCUGGCUGGCAGUGAGUCCUGAGUAGCAGUGACAAUUAAUUGCUUCAGGGGAACUUUUCUCUGUCCCGAGCUCAAAGAAAUGAUGCCCUGGAGUUUAACGUGUAUCUCACAGCCCUUCCCAGGAACCCAGAAAGCUUGCCCUGUCCUUAUAACUUACAAAGAUAAAUAAAAAAGAAGUCUGCGAACUGGGCGAACUGGUUUGAAUAAAGACAAGCCCGUUCUUGGAAAGUUUGAGUAGGCUAUUUUUCUUCUGACAUUUGUGAAUGUGAGCAAGAGGGAGAACCACCUUUUACCUUAUCAGGGGGGUCAUUGCUUACAGGACACAGCUAGACCUAGAACUCCCUCUUCUUGUGUUUCUAUACAAAAGAAAAAUCCCCCACCUCACCGUGUCAUAAAAGCACCUUUGCACCCACGUGUCACAUCUUCCGGUGAGCUGGAUUGGAAUAAUUGUUGUCCUCAGUUAAAAUAACUCCCAGCGCAACAUAAAAUAACUGAGUGACCAUCUGAACUCACUUCCCUCAACCCAGGUCAGCUAACUGAUAAAUCCCAGGCUCCACCCUGACCACCAGCAGGACUCCUCCCAAGCACACCUGUUCAGGGUAGAUUUUGAUGAAAUUCUUUUGAUCGGGAAUUAAGAAAUGAAUGUAAAAACUGCAUGUUAUUGGACGCGUUUAUGUAGCACCUCCUUCACAUAGCCUUUGAACACAGGCAUUUCUGGGUUUGAAUUUCUCUUUACAAGUAGCAUGGUUUAAAAUGGGAAAUAUGCACUCCUAGAGGGAUUUUGCUCUGAGAAUUUGAAAAGAUCAAAUCCUAUUAUGACUCAUUCAGUGUUAAACAUUUCAGCAAACCCACAUCCUGAGUACUAUUAUUCAGUAUGAAAAAAAUCCCAGUAUCACACAGGGUAAGAAUGGAUUCACCAGAUACUUAUCAAAUAUAACGGGAACUUGACCAGCAUUCUAUUCCUUUCUUUUCUUUCUUUUUCAGUAACCCACUUAUAAAGAAUAAUAGGGUUCUAAUGAGGAUUAAUAAAAUUUAAUAAGGUAUAAUUAGAGACCUUCAUUUCUUCCAUCAUACACCUUAUAAGAGCUGUACUGGAUCCAGAAAUGCUGCUAAUUGUGUUGAAACUGUUGUAUGGGUGUACUGGAGAAGAUCACUAUGAUUCUCCUGUGAGAUGUGAUUCUCCUGCGAGAUGCAUGAACUGCUCAGUUGACUGGCUCCGUAGCAGAAAGAAGUGUCAAGAGAAAACUGCUCAGCUCCUGGCAGCGGGAGGCAGAGAAGGGACGAGCACCAGGGAGGAGGGGUCAUCCACCAGAUAGAGACCCCAGGGUCACACUUCCAUGCCCCACCCAUUCACACCCACAAGUGUCCUUUACUAAUAUGUUAGAUGUCCCUUAAGCCAAUCAAGCUGUCAAUUGGGAUCAUCCAUCACACUAAGGCAGAAAAUUCAUGUCUCCCCUUCUGUUCUAACAAGUACCUACUAUGCACUCACUAAAUUUACUAGGCAAUAAGAGAGUGCAAUAUGGAGAAAAACAGACCACCCUACAUACUAAUGCAAA
ensembl:lncRNA